rnacentral:sRNA from 1 species
AGCCAAAUGUACGCAUGGCGCGUGGGUUUUAACCACGUGGUCGUGGGUUCGAGUCCCAC